ensembl:lncRNA novel transcript
UGCAGCAGUACAAUUUCAGCAUAUCUCUGGCUCAGGGAGAGUGCACUAGUCACUGGAGGAAGAGGUAGGUCUGUGCGCACCUCUCUGGGCUUGCUGGGAGAGGUAGUCUCAUAAACACUACCAGCCCUUUCAUCACAUCGCUGUAGGACUACAAUUCCAGCAUGCACGGGGCGCCGGGGCAGUCCGCCUCACUGGAGGAAGAGAAAGGCGUGUGAGCGCCUUGCUGGGCUUUCUGGGAGAUGUUGUCUCUUUAUUUCUCCCAGCCCUUUGGUCACAGGGCUUCAGGACUACAAUCCCAGCAUGCAUCCUGCUCAGGGACAACGCGCGUCACUGUAGGAAGAGGUGGACCUGUGCUGUUCUCGCUAUGCUUUUUGGGAUACGUAUUCUCGUAAACACUCCCAGCCCUUUGGUCACUGGGCUGCAUCACUACAAUCCCAGCAUACAUCGGGAUCAGGGAGAGUGCGCUAAUCAGUGGAGAAAGGGGCGAGGCUCUGCACACCUCGCUGGUCUUGCUGGGAGAUGCAGUCUCAUAAACACUCCCAGCCCUUUGGUCACUGGGCUGCAGCGCUACAAUCCUAGCAUGGACCGGGCGCAGGGAAUGUGCGCGUCACUGGAGGAAGAGGCAGGGUUGUGCACGCCUCUCUGGGCUUGGUGGGAGUUGCAGUCUCAUAAACACUCCCAGACCUCUCAUCACCGGGCUGCAGGACUACAAUCCCAGCAUGCACCCGGCUCAGGGAGAGUGCGCAUUACUGGAGGAAAAGUCUAGGAUGUGGAUGCCUCCUUCUGCUUGCUGGGAGAUGUAGUUUCAUAAAGACUACCAGAACUUGUGUCACAGGGCUGCAGGACUACCAUCCCAUUAUGCACUGGGGUCAGGGACACGGCCCGUCAGUGGAGAAAGAGGCGGGGCUGUGUGCGUCUCCCUCGGCUUGCUGGGAGAUGUAUUCUUAUAAACACUCCCAGCCCUUUGGUCAAAGGGCUACAGGACUACAAUCCCAGCAUGUGCCAGUCUCGGGGGCGAGGUACAGGCCUGGAAGAAGGGGCCGAGUGGUACACGCCCUACCUAAUAUGCUGGGAGCUGUAGUCUGUUAACUGCUCUCAGCCUGUUUGUCGGUAGGCUUCAGAACUAUAAUCACAGCAUGUACCGGGACCCGGGGUGCAUAGCCCUGGAGGGAGGGGCAGAGCGGUGUGGACUUCCCGGUGUCCAAAGCACUGCUGAGUUCUUAUGCUAUGCCGACUCUUUGCCAAGGAGAAUGAGUACAUAGGUGGACCUAGAGGACAGGUCUGCGCUGAGCAUUGAGGAGGGUAUUACCCUACAUAGGCACCUUACCUUUGCCCAAAUCGGGCGGGUUGUCCUCAACUGAUUGGCCCUAUCCUUCUCAAGUUCCUCUUUCAGCUGCACCCAGGGUUCUUCCCAGAGCAUUGCGCCUUCUGCAGCCCAGGGCGCUGCCUUCUUUCCUAAACUGCUGUGGAAACUGUCCUGAUGUCUGAGACACUGUCCAUUGUGCCGCAGCCCUCUUUUUUCUCUAGCCAAGCCUCAUGCUCAACAGCUUUUGAGAGAAAUCUUCCACGUGGCCUGCUUAUGAACAGCUUCAGAAUUCUGUAGGGGGUGACAAGGUCUGUGGCUUCCUGGAAAUGUCACUGUCAAUGGCGCCUUUUUCACGAAUGUGAAAGUUGAGGCAUCAGGAAGGUUAAUUAUUGGGUUGCACAAAAUCUGCUAAGAGCAAAGGAGAAAACCCCAUUUCCGAGGCAUGAGUCUUGUGAGCCAUUUUCAUCAACCCAUUUAAGUGGACAAGCUCCAAAAUGAAACCUGAAGCUGCUGACUAUUUAGGCAUUUUACACUUGAAAUCAUCGGUCUCAUCUCAAGUCACUCCUGACUUGCCAGUGUCUCAGAAACACAAAUGGGACCGGAUCCCUCAGGAGCAGAUAGUGUUCCAGCUUUGUUGGAGCGACAUUUAAGAUGUGGAGCACUUGGGGUCGUUUGAAACCCGCUAUCUUCAGUAGGGACUUUUACUUCUAGAGAACAUGUGCAUUUUGAUUUUAUCUGUCCUCAAACUGAACUUUUGCUCAUUUUAAUAGUAAAAACACAUUCCUAGGUGGAGACUUAAGAUGCUAAUGAGACAUGCAAUGUAUGCACAAAUAUGUACAGUUAGUGCACAUGUGCACCCAGAAGACCACUCAAAACAUGCUUACACUAACACUUCUUUCCACCUUCUUAUGAAUAAUCGUGCAAAACCCCCAGAAGGAGGGUUUCUCCAGUAACAAUUAAUGGUGUCUCACUCUUAUGAGCAGCCUGCCCUGGAAUCUCUUUCUCAGAAUGUACCGUCUAUUCUGCACUUAAUUUUCAAAGUAGUCUUUUCUUUUUUUGUGUGCAAUAAAUUACUCUAUGCUGUA